rnacentral:rRNA from 1 species
UACAGAGGGUGCGAGCGUUAAUCGGAAUUACUGGGCGUAAAGCGCACGUAGGCGGAUCGUUAAGUCGAGGGUGAAAUCCUGGAGCUCAACUCCAGAACUGCCUUCGAUACUGGCGAUCUCGAGUCCGGAAGAGGUGAGUAGAACUCCUAGUGUAGAGGUGGAAUUCGUAGAUAUUAGGAAGAACACCAGUGGCGAAGGCGGCUCACUGGUCCGGUACUGACGCUGAGGUGCGAAAGCGUGGGGAGCAAACAGG